UGGAGGAAGCCAAUGAUGACAAAUUUGAUCUGACUCACUGUGCUGAGUUUGUUCACUCCAGCCAUGAGCCUCGUGUU
ensembl:snoRNA